rnacentral:rRNA from 1 species
AUGCAUGCUCCUCGUGAUGCUCAUUGGACUGCGGUCAAGCGGGUCCUCCGCUACAUCCGCGGCACCUUGGAUUUCGGUUUGUCUCUUCAUGCCUCUAUGGCUCUGGACAUCACUGCUUACUCGGAUGCUGACUGGGCCGGCUGCCCUGACACGAGACGUUCCACCUCGGGCUAUUGUGUUUAUCUUGGACCAUCGUUGAUCUCUUGGUCGUCUAAGCGGCAGCCCACUGUUUCUCGCUCCAGUGCUGAAGCCGAGUAUCGAGCAGUGGCUAAUGUUGUUGCAGAGUGCUCCUGGCUUCGUCAGCUUCUUCUUGAGCUCUCUUGUCCUGUCGCCAAGGCCACCAUUGUCUACUGCGACAACGUCUCCGCUGUGUACCUCUCCGCCAACCCAGUUCAUCACCGCCGCACCAAACAUAUUGAGCUCGAUAUCCAUUUUGUUCGGGAACAGGUGGCUCUUGGACACAUCCGGGUUCUCCAUGUCCCUACUUCCCAACAGUUUGCGGACAUCAUGACCAAAGGGUUGCCUACGGCGUCUUUCGAGGAUUUUCGCUCCAGUCUCUGCGUCGGACGUCCCGAUGUUUCGACUGCGGGGGGGUGUUGA